GCCAGACUCCUACGGGAGGCAGCAGUGAGGAAUAUUGGUCAAUGGGCGCGAGCCUGAACCAGCCAAGUCGCGUGAGGGAAGACGGUCCUAUGGAUUGUAAACCUCUUUUGUCGGGGAGCAAAAGACGCCACGUGUGGCGUUCCGAGAGUACCCGAAGAAAAAGCAUCGGCUAACUCCGUGCCAGCAGCCGCGGUAAUACGGAGGAUGCGAGCGUUAUCCGGAUUUAUUGGGUUUAAAGGGUGCGUAGGCGGAAUAUCAAGUCAGCGGUAAAAAUUCGGGGCUCAACCCCGUCGUGCCGUUGAAACUGAUGUUCUUGAGUGGGCGAGAAGUAUGCGGAAUGCGUGGUGUAGCGGUGAAAUGCAUAGAUAUCACGCAGAACUCCGAUUGCGAAGGCAGCAUACCGGCGCCCAACUGACGCUGAAGCACGAAAGCGUGGGUAUCGAACAGGAUUAGAUACCCGAGUAUA
rnacentral:rRNA from 1 species